rnacentral:misc_RNA from 1 species
GAUGAAGAACGCAGCGAAAUGCGAUAAGUAAUGUGAAUUGCAGAAUUCAGUGAAUCAUCGAAUCUUUGAACGCACAUUGCGCCCGCCAGUAUUCUGGCGGGCAUGCCUGUUCGAGCGUCAUUUCAACCAUCAAGCCCCCCGGCUUGUGUUGGGGACCUGCGGCUGCCGCAGGCCCUGAAAAGCAGUGGCGGGCUCGCUGUCACACCGAGCGUAGUAGAUCUCAUCUCGCUCAGGGCGUGCUGCGGGUUCCGGCCGUUAAACCACCUUCAUAACCCAAGGUUGACCUCGGAUCAGGUAGGAAGACCCGCUGAACUUAAGCAUAUCAAUAAGCGGAGGA